GAUGAACGCUGGCGGCGUGCCUAAUACAUGCAAGUCGAGCGAACGGACGAGAAGCUUGCUUCUCUGAUGUUAGCGGCGGACGGGUGAGUAACACGUGGAUAACCUACCUAUAAGACUGGGAUAACUUCGGGAAACCGGAGCUAAUACCGGAUGAUAUUUUGAACCGCAUGGUUCAAAAGUGAAAGACGGUCUUGCUGUCACUUAUAGAUGGAUCCGCGCUGCAUUAGCUAGUUGGUAAGGUAACGGCUUACCAAGGCAACGAUGCAUAGCCGACCUGAGAGGGUGAUCGGCCACACUGGAACUGAGACACGGUCAAGACUCCUACGGGAGGCAGCAGUAGGGAAUCUUCCGCAAUGGGCGAAAGCCUGACGGAGCAACGCCGCGUGAGUGAUGACGGUCUUCGGAUCGUAAAACUCUGUUAUUAGGGAAGAACAUAUGUGUAAGUAACUGUGCACAUCUUGACGGUACCUAAUCAGAAAGCCACGGCUAACUACGUG
rnacentral:rRNA from 1 species